rnacentral:misc_RNA from 1 species
GAUGAAGAACGUAGCGAAAUGCGAUAAGUAAUGUGAAUUGCAGAAUUCCGUGAAUCAUCGAAUCUUUGUACGCACAUUGCGCCCCCUGGUAUUCCGGGGGGCAUGCCUGUCCGAGCGUCAUUGCAACCUUCAAGCGCGGCUUGUGUGUUGGGUCUCGUCCCCCGUGGACGGGCCCGAAAGGCAGUGGCGGCGUCCCGACAUGGUGCCCGAGCGUAUGGGAAUCCUCUUCCGCUCGAAUCGGCCCAUGCGGCGCUGGUCGUAACCAAAUUUUUUACCGGUUGACCUCGGAUCAGGUAGGGAUACCCGCUGAACUUAAGCAUAUCAAUAAGCGGAGGA